AGCCUACUAGCUCAAUAGGUAGAGCAUUGUUCAAAUGCAGAAAAGAUGUGGGUUCGAAUCCCAUGUAGGUUA
rnacentral:tRNA from 1 species